rnacentral:tRNA from 1 species
UCAGAAAAUAGUAUAAAGAUUAUGUGAAUUUUGGGGAUUUAAGAUGAGAGAUCUUUUCUGAA